rnacentral:rRNA from 1 species
UGGGAAUUUUGCGCAAUGGGGGUAACCCUGACGCAGCAACGCCGCGUGGGUGAGGAAGGCCUUCGGGUCGUAAAGCCCUUUUAGCAGGGAAGAACACAAUGACGGUACCUGCAGAAAAAGCACCGGCUAACUCCGUGCCAGCAGCCGCGGUAAUACGGAGGGUGCGAGCGUUAUUCGGAUUCACUGGGCGUAAAGCGCGCGUAGGCGGUUUGGUAAGUCUGAUGUGAAAGCCCUCGACUUAAUCGAGGAAGUGCAUUGGAUACUGCCAGGCUAGAGUACAGGAGAGGAAGAUGGAAUUCCCGGUGUAGAGGUGAAAUUCGUAGAUAUCGGGAGGAACAACAGAGGCGAAGGCGAUCUUCUGGACUGUCACUGACGCUGAGGUGCGAAAGUGUGGGGAGCAAAC